UACGUAGGGGGCAAGCGUUUGUCCGGACUUAUUGGGCGUAAAGAGCGUGUAGGCGGCCAUGUAGUCCGUUGUGAAAACUCGAGGCUCAACCUCGAGACGCCGAUGGAAACCAUGUGGCUAGAGUCCGGAAGAGGAGAGUGGAAUUCCUGGUGUGAGCGGUGGAAAUGCGCAGAUAUCAGGAAGAACACCCGUGGCUAAGGCGGCUCUCUAGUACGGUACUGACGCUGAGACGCGAAAGCGUGGGGAGCGAACAGG
rnacentral:rRNA from 1 species